rnacentral:lncRNA from 1 species
UGUAAUUUCCCUAUUUUAAUAUUCAACUCAACUUAUCUUAAGUACUAAAAUCAUACAUAAUAAUUGAAUUUAAUUUACAAAAAAGCUAGUUGUACAGAAAAAAAUUUACAGAAGCUUUACAGAUGUGUCACAAGGUGGUGAAUUAAAAUAUUGCAAAAAAUAACCCACCCACCCUACCAUAUGUGUAUUUUGUAAUGGUUCUAUACAAAAAAAUUUCUGUACAUGAAGCUUGGCUGUUUAAUUUAUAAUGUCGUGAGUUUUAGCCUCUCUUUGAC